rnacentral:snRNA from 1 species
CAUGUGUGCGAGUCAACG